GGGGCUGCUUUCCCCGGAACUCAAUCUGCUUUGGAGCCCUUCUGACCCCUGACCUCCAACCUGGACAUGACCAUGAAAUAUCUGAGAAGAAUCUUCGUGCAAACGUUUCUCCAUCUCCCUGGAGAACCCCAGGAACCCCAGUCCUUGGGUUACAAUGGCUUCCCAGCUCCAAUUCCCAAGAAUCCCUAACCUUCUAGUGGGAAUUAGUGAGGCCACAGCCUGGCAUAAACUUCAGUGGACUCUGAAAUCAGGAACUGGGAACUCGGAGGUUGAGUAACUUGUCCAAGAUCACUCAGCUACACAACAAAGCAGGAUGCAAGGCCAGGACUCCCUGUCAGACUCAGAGAUCAGACUCUUAACUUAUUGUUCUAACACUUUCUUGAAUGUGACUCUGGCAAAUUAUCUAACUGCUUAAUAAAUGCCAGUUCAGGAACUGCUGUUUCACUGCCCUGUUGCCCCAUGGGAGAAAAAUGCCUUGUUUUAACUGAGUUCGAACUAACCACUAAUGGAACAGGCAGGAAGUAGCAAAGGAUGAAAAUGUGACAACAGCGCCUGGAAAACAGACAACUUUGAAGGGACAGGCAGGGGAUACCAGGGUGAGAUGGCAGUGCAAUUUCCACCAUGAAACCAUCUACUUGUAGGACCCAAGGGACCCAAGAAUGUUGUCAAUGGAUGCUUGAAUCCUUCCAAGCCUGCCACUCCAAGUGCCUCUGGCCUCGACUUGCAAACCUCUAGGAACAGAAGCCUCACUAUCUUUUGAGGUCAACUUGUCGAUCUUCCUGACUGGAAGGAAGAUCUUCCUUGAAUGGAACUGAAACUUGUGUCCUUCCUCUGCCCUCUUGUGUUUUUCCCAAUAAUUGGAAGAGGUCUGCCAGUCGGGGAAGAGUUAAAAUGAUUUUAUUUUUUAAUAAAAAGUAAGAGGAGCAGGGAUGAGAUGGUUGGAUGGCAUCAUCGACUCAAUGGGCAUGAGUCUGAGCCAACUCUGGGAGACAAGGAAAGUCAGGGAAGCCUGACAUGCUGCGGUCCAUGGGAUCAUGAAGAGUCGAACACGACCAAGCAACUGAACAACUGCCGAGAGUCCGGAAGCUGUGUGAUAGAGAUAAGGGUGCUGGCUACCAGGGUGCCCUAGUGAAGCACCAUUUAAUCGCUGUGGGAUACCCCACCCAGGCUGGAACCAGCAGAAGGUGGGGGCUUUUCCUCCUUCACCUUUGAGAGAAUGGGCAUUAUUCCUGCCCGGUCCAACCAGGAUGGAGUCCAACUUCUGAUCCUGGCCACCAAGACUCUGCAGCCAUCUCUUCAGACUUCUGCACUCACGUAGGGUCUUUCUACUUUUGUACCUUAGCUCAUCUGGAACCCCCUCCUCGUCUCUCCCUGUGAAGCUCCCCGCUAUGCAUGAAGGUCCAGCUCUCAUGUCAUCUCCACUAGGAAUUCUUCCCUGAUCCUUG
ensembl:lncRNA